rnacentral:rRNA from 1 species
CGUAGGGGGCAAGCGUUGUCCGGAAUCAUUGGGCGUAAAGAGCGCGUAGGCGGCCCAGUAAGUCCGCUCUGAAAGUCAGGGGCUCAACCCCUGGAUGCGGGUGGAUACUGCUGGGCUAGAGUCCGGAAGAGGCGAGUGGAAUUCCUGGUGUAGCGGUGAAAUGCGCAGAUAUCAGGAGGAACACCGAUGGCGAAGGCAGCUCGCUGGGACGGUACUGACGCUGAGGCGCGAAAGCGUGGGGAGCAAACAGGAUUAGAUACCCUGGUAGUCCACGCCGUAAACGAUGGACACUAGGUGUGGGAGGUGUCGACUCCUCCCGUGCCGAAGCUAACGCAUUAAGUGUCCCGCCUGGGGAGUACGGCCGCAAGGCUA